CUUGGGGGAAUGUAUUCUUAAUUUAUAAAAAUUGAAUUAAGAAUUCAAAACUUUUGAAUAUAGUUCUAGAUAAAAUAUUGAUAAUGACAAAUUUUUAUCUAUAUGUCUUGACCAAAUCUUGUGCCAGCAGUCGCGGCAACACAAGGAAGACUAGUGUUAUUCAUCUUAAAUCGGUUUAAAGGGUACCUAGACAGUAAAUUAUGCCUUAAUUGGAACGUUUUUACUAGAGUUAUAUAUGCGUGAGGAAUGUGUGAGUAUUACCAGAGUAGAGAUGCAAUUUUUUAAUACUGUUAAGACUGGUAAAGGCGAAAGCAAACCUUUAUAUAUUAACUGACGUUGAGGGACGAAGGCUUGGGUAGCAAACAGGAUUAGAUACCCUAAUAGUCCAGGCAGAGAAUUAUGAAUGUCAUAAAAUGCAU
rnacentral:rRNA from 1 species